rnacentral:ncRNA from 1 species
UUCUUGGAGAGUUUGAUCCUGGCUCAGGACGAACGCUGGCGGCGUGCCUAAUACAUGCAAGUCGAGCGAAUCUU